UUGCCAUGAGAAUAAGAAAUAAAUCUGGGGGAAUACUUUAAGAACAGGGUAACCUAGUAGCAGACUGAUUACCUUUUCAGCUAAAUUACAAGAAGAGAUAGAAUUUGAACAUCAUUAUUUUCCGGGGAGCCUAACUUGGUAUUGGGAACUUGCUGAAAGCUUUUUACAGAAGGAAAAAUCAGUAGGCUUAUUCAAAUGAGGUAAUGGAGAAUGCAUAUACUUGGCCUGAAAGCUCUCAUCGGGAAUAAAGACGAACAAAGGAACACUAUAUUUCCUCCUGCAAAUGGCAGGGAAUAAUGAUGCUCCUGGCAUGGACAUAAUUGCAAAAAUGUACAUUUGCUUUGGAAGCUCACAUGGAAAAUGAGACUGUACCCCACUUAUGCUGGUCAAUGACAGAAAGCCUGGCAGAAAGCAACCAAGGAAUGCUGGGAAGAACAAUUACGAUGAAACAAAUGGACAAAAUCUCUGAGAGAGUCAGAUAGGAUUUGGAUUUGAUAAUAGAACUGUGACUGAUUGUGAUUUCAAGGAUUUAUAUAUUUAAUACCUGUGUCUUAAUACAUUUCCACUUUCUUGUUUGUUUUAUCACACUCUCUGUCAUUUAUUAUUAUUAAGUUUGGUGGAGGUUGGUCACAAUAGCCACAGUGAACCCAUCACAGUGACAUAUCCACAGGUCCAUAUGAGGGGAAUCACCUCGAGACCCAAGCACCCAAUCCAAGAAGGGAUUAAGUGGGGAGUAUGGACUGGGUGAAUGGCAGGAUUCCUUGGGUUGGGAGUACAGGGGUAGCCUGGAAAGGGGAUCUGUCACCGCCUGACAAAACAUGUUUUCCUUUUUGCAUGAAAUGCCACCAUUUUUAAACAAAAUCUCACAUGCAUUUCUGUACAAAAUAAAUCUCCUGAAGGAUUUA